AUUGAACGCUGGCGGCAGGCCUAACACAUGCAAGUCAAAUGGUAACAGGAAACAGCUUGCUGUUUCGCUGACGAGUGGCGGACGGGUGAGUAAUGUCUGGGAAACUGCCUGAUGGAGGGGGAUAACUACUGGAAACGGUAGCUAAUACCGCAUAACGUCGCAAGACCAAAGAGGGGGACCUUCGGGCCUCUUGCCAUCAGAUGUGCCAGAUGGGAUUAGCUAGUAGGUGGGGUAACGGCUCACCUAGGCGACGAUCCCUAGCUGGUCUGAGAGGAUGACCAGCCACACUGGAACUGAGACACGGUCCAGACUCCUACGGGAGGCAGCAGUGGGGAAUAUUGCACAAUGGGCGCAAGCCUGAUGCAGCCAUGCCGCGUGUAUGAAGAAGG
rnacentral:rRNA from 1 species